GUGAGGAAUAUUGGUCAAUGGGCGGGAGCCUGAACCAGCCAAGUCGCGUGAAGGAAGAAGGAUCUAUGGUUCGUAAACUUCUUUUGCAGGGGAAUAAAGUGCAGGACGUGUCCUGUUUUGUAUGUACCCUGAGAAUAAGGAUCGGCUAACUCCGUGCCAGCAGCCGCGGUAAUACGGAGGAUCCGAGCGUUAUCCGGAUUUAUUGGGUUUAAAGGGUGCGUAGGUGGUUUGAUAAGUCAGCGGUGAAAGUUUGCAGCUUAACUGUAAAAAUGCCGUUGAAACUGUCGGACUUGAAUGUAAAGGAGGUAGGCGGAAUGCGUGGUGUAGCGGUGAAAUGCAUAGAUAUCACGCAGAACUCCGAUUGCGAAGGCAGCUUACUAAGCUACAACUGACACUGAAGCACGAAAGCGUGGGGAUCAAACAGGAUUAGAAACCCGGGUAGUCC
rnacentral:rRNA from 1 species